rnacentral:rRNA from 1 species
CCUACGGGAGGCAGCAGUGGGGAAUAUUGCGCAAUGGGCGAACGCCUGACGCAGCGACGCCGCGUGAGUGAUGAAGGUCUUCGGAUCGUAAACCUCUGUCAGCAGGGAAGAACGGUCACUGUGCUAAUCAGCAGUGAAUUGCCGGUACCUGCACAGGAAGCACCGGCUAACUCCGUGCCAGCAGCCGCGGUAAUACGGAGGGUGCGAGCGUUAAUCGGAAUUACUGGGCGUAAAGCGCUCGUAGGCGGGAUGUCAAGUCAAGGGUGAAAUCCCCGCGCUCAACGUGGGAACUGCCUUGGAAACUGGCAAACGGGAGGGUGGGAGAGGAUAGUGGAAUUCCAGGUGUAGGAGUGAAAUCCGUAGAGAUCUGGAGGAACAUCAGUGGCGAAGGCGACUAUCUGGCACAUAACUGACGCUGAGGAGCGAAAGCGUGGGUAGCAAACAGGAUUAGAUACCCCGGUAGUC